GAUAAUAACUAAUUUAUUUUAAUUAUUAUUUUUUCUUUUUUUACAGAAAUAACUUUUUUUUUAGUAUUUUUUACUGAACUAAUUAUUUAUUAUUAUAGUUUAUUGUACUGUUAAGGUUUAUUUUAUUAUUUAUUUUAAGUAUACUUUUUUUGUAGUACCUUUUGUAUCAGGGUUUAUUAAUUUUUAAUUAAUUAUAAUUAAUUUUCCCGAAAUUAAAAGAGAUACAGUUUUAUGUGAGUUUUUGUUUCAUAAUGAUUUUUAAUUUUACUGUAGGAGUUAUAUGCUAUUCAUUUUUAAAUAUCUGGUUAUCUAAUAAUUUAAUUUAAUUUAGACUAAUUUUUUUGUUUUUUUAUAUUUUAAUUUUGAUUUAAUAAGAUUAGUUAAUGUUAUGGGGGAUAAGCUCUUUAAUAUUUCUAUAAUUUUCUUUAUUAAUAGUUUUUUGUAGGUUUAGUAACGUCCAUCAUUUAUUUCGUCAUAGUUAAUUCUUUAUUUUUUGUUAAUUUUGUAUUUUAUUUAGAUUUUUAUUAGGUUAUUUAUUUUUAUUUAUUAUAUUUAGUAAUAAUGAUAGAAUUAGUAGUUUUGUUAAUUUAAAUAUAGGAACUCGGCAAUUCUAGUCUUCGCCUGUUUAACAAAAACAUGUCCUGUAGAUUUUAAUUAUAGGUCUAAUCUGCCCAAUGGUUUUACUUAAUGGCUGCAGUAUUUUGACUGUACAAAGGUAGCAUAAUCAUUUGUCUUUUAAUUGGAGGCUUGUAUGAAUGAUUGGACGAGGGACUAUCUUUCUUUAUUUAAAUUUUGUGAAUUUAAUUUUUUGGUCAAAAAGCUUAGAUUUUUUUGCAAGACGAGAAGACCCUAUAGAAUUUUAUUAUAAUUUUAAUUUUUAAUUUUUGGUUAAUUGUUUUGUUAAAUUUUAUUUUUAUAAUUUUGUUGGGGCGAUAUUGAGGAUUAAUUAACCCUCAAUUAUUUAUUUUCAUUUAUUUAUGUAUUUUUGAUCCUUUUUUAAAGAUUAUAAGAUUAAAUUACCUUAGGGAUAACAGCGUAAUUUUUCCGGAGAGUCCUUAUCUAUGGAUUGAGUUUGCGACCUCGAUGUUGGAUUAAAGAAAGUUUUUGGCGCAGAAGCUGAAAUACUAAGUCUGUUCGACUUUUGAAUCUUUACAUGAUCUGAGUUCAGACCGGCGUGAGCCAGGUUGGUUUCUAUCUGCAAUUUUUUUUUAUACUUUAGUACGAAAGGACCUAGUAUAAGUAAUAUUUAUAUUUUGUUGAUUAUUAUU
rnacentral:rRNA from 1 species